rnacentral:rRNA from 1 species
UGACCGGGGCGGGCGUGCCUAAUACAUGCAAGUAGAACGCUGAAGAGAGGAGCUUGCUCUUCUUGGAUGAGUUGCGAACGGGUGAGUAACGCGUAGGUAACCUGCCUUGUAGCGGGGGAUAACUAUUGGAAACGAUAGCUAAUACCGCAUAACAAUGGAUGACCCAUGUCAUUUAUUUGAAAGGGGCAAAUGCUCCACUACAAGAUGGACCUGCGUUGUAUUAGCUAGUAGGUGAGGUAACGGCUCACCUAGGCGACGAUACAUAGCCGACCUGAGAGGGUGAUCGGCCACACUGGGACUGAGACACGGCCCAGACUCCUACGGGAGGCAGCAGUAGGGAAUCUUCGGCAAUGGGGGCAACCCUGACCGAGCAACGCCGCGUGAGUGAAGAAGGUUUUCGGAUCGUAAAGCUCUGUUGUAAGUCAAGAACGAGUGUGAGAGUGGAAAGUUCACACUGUGACGGUAGCUUACCAGAAAGGGACGGCUAACUACGUGCCAGCAGCCGCGGUAAUACGUAGGUCCCGAGCGUUGUCCGGAUUUAUUGGGCGUAAAGCGAGCGCAGGCGGUUUGAUAAGUCUGAAGUUAAAGGCUGUGGCUCAACCAUAGUUCGCUUUGGAAACUGUCAAACUUGAGUGCAGAAGGGGAGAGUGGAAUUCCAUGUGUAGCGGUGAAAUGCGUAGAUAUAUGGAGGAACACCGGUGGCGAAAGCGGCUCUCUGGUCUGUAACUGACGCUGAGGCUCGAAAGCGUGGGGAGCGAACAGGAUUAGAUACCCUGGUAGUCCACGCCGUAAACGAUGAGUGCUAGGUGUUGGAUCCUUUCCGGGAUUCAGUGCCGCAGCUAACGCAUUAAGCACUCCGCCUGGGGAGUACGACCGCAAGGUUGAAACUCAAAGGAAUUGACGGGGGCCCGCACAAGCGGUGGAGCAUGUGGUUUAAUUCGAAGCAACGCGAAGAACCUUACCAGGUCUUGACAUCCCGAUGCUAUUUCUAGAGAUAGAAAGUUACUUCGGUACAUCGGUGACAGGUGGUGCAUGGUUGUCGUCAGCUCGUGUCGUGAGAUGUUGGGUUAAGUCCCGCAACGAGCGCAACCCCUAUUGUUAGUUGCCAUCAUUCAGUUGGGCACUCUAGCGAGACUGCCGGUAAUAAACCGGAGGAAGGUGGGGAUGACGUCAAAUCAUCAUGCCCCUUAUGACCUGGGCUACACACGUGCUACAAUGGUUGGUACAACGAGUUGCGAGUCGGUGACGGCAAGCUAAUCUCUUAAAGCCAAUCUCAGUUCGGAUUGUAGGCUGCAACUCGCCUACAUGAAGUCGGAAUCGCUAGUAAUCGCGGAUCAGCACGCCGCGGUGAAUACGUUCCCGGGCCUUGUACACACCGCCCGUCACACCACGAGAGUUUGUAACACCCGAAGUCGGUGAGGUAACCUUUUGGAGCCAGCCGCCUAAGGUGGAAAGGGG